UUUACAUAAUAUUUACAUAUUAUGUAUUUAAAAAACGACAAAGUUCUACAGAUUGAUAAUUGCUAGAUAAAAAGAAACAAAGUUUAAAGAUAAUAUAGAAUUCGUCAAGAGUUGAAUAACAACUAACCUUUACUCUCUCUAGUUUUUGGUAUAUUAAUAUAAUUUAUUCGUACAGCAUAAUAACACUUUUAGAAUUGAAUAAGUAAAGAGAAAAGAGCUCUUUUACAAAAGAGACUUUAAAAACCUCAAGAGCAGGUGGUAAUGAGAAAAUCGUGUUUAAAAUCUACGCGAUACUAAUGAAUCAAACGUGUACAUAUAAAAUUUAUCUGCGAACAUUUACUUAUUGUUUUAAAAGAUCACUAAACGCCUAAUGUAUAAGUACUAAAUACACAUCAUAGUAAAAUUUAUACCUUCUCAGUUUUACAUCGGAGCCAAAACAAUUAUAUAAUUGUUUUGACCUGAUAAGUAAUUUUAACUAAUAUAAUUUUGACUAUUCAUUGAUUUGUAAUAAUAGUGAGCAAAAAUGAAGAAUUAGAAGUUGCGUCAGAAAAUCGUAGAAAACCGCCAUUACUAAUCGACUUUAUUGCGCAAGGAUUGAAUCCUGCUGAAUCCUCAUCACAAGGAAUUUCAGAACCAAUGGAAGUUGAUAGUGAAACAUCAACCCCGUUUAAAUUUAUAUAAGUAAACAUUACUCAUUUAUUCAUUACAUAAAUUUAAUAAGAAAUAUUAUUGUUUUGUAAUGAACUUUUAAGUUAAAAAUUAAAUUAAAUUUUCAUACA